rnacentral:rRNA from 1 species
GAUGAACGCUGGCGGCGUGCCUAAUACAUGCAAGUCGAGCGAACAGACGAGGAGCUUGCUCCUCUGACGUUAGCGGCGGACGGGUGAGUAACACGUGGAUAACCGACCUAUAAGACUGGGAUAACUUCGGGAAACCGGAGCUAAUACCGGAUAAUAUAUUGAACCGCAUGGUUCAAUAGUGAAAGACGGUUUUGCUGUCACUUAUAGAUGUAUCCGCGCCGCAUUAGCUAGUUGGUAAGGUAACGGCUUACCAAGGCAACGAUGCGUAGCCGACCUGAGAGGGUGAUCGGCCACACUGGAACUGAGACACGGUCCAGACUCCUACGGGAGGCAGCAGUAGGGAAUCUUGCGCAAUGGGCGAAAGCCUGACGGAGCAACGCCGCGUGAGUGAUGAAGGUCUUCGGAUCGUAAAACUCUGUUAUUAGGGAAGAACAGAUGUGAAAGUAACUAUGCACGUCUUGACGGUACCUAAUCAGAAAGCCACGGCUAACUACGUG